rnacentral:lncRNA from 1 species
CAGGACUUUAUGCAGAUUCUCAGAGGAGAUGUCACAUAAACCCAACUUGCUUUCAACCUAGCCAGGACUUUGCCCUGAACUCUUUGGCAGUGUCUCUCACCUAAGCGUAACCACCUGUGUGCAGCCCUUCUCCAGCACUGACUUUCCAUGCCCAAGGGCUCUGCUCUCUCGGAGAAUGUAUCUAUGGACAUAAGGGGAAAGGCCAAGGACAAACAGUUUUUAAUUUCCCAGAAACAAGGCCAUUUAUUAACACAACUGUAUCUCUCUAAUUGCACCGUACAUUCACAGCUACCUGGGACAUUAUGGCUACAUCGAGGCAACAGACUGGCCACUGAAUACACUGCUAUUGCAAAAGUCUGUCCAGCUGUUGGAUUUGCAAGCUUGUGCAUUUGAGGGCUGGCUGGCUGGCUGGCUUUACCUGGACUUUCAGCUAGCAGAAGGGGAAACUUCCCUGCUUCUGAGCUAGCCAGAAGCCCUCACCAUGGCUAACUCCUUUGGUAGCCUAAAACUCUGCCUUCUCCUCCAAGCCAUCUGCCUAUGUCUAGCACAGCUUCAAGGUCCUCCAGGAGAGCCCGGCCCUCGGGGGCCCCCGGGUCCGCCAGGAGUGCCAGGAUCCGACGGCGCUGAUGGUGACAAAGGCCCGCCAGGCGCUGCUGGGACCCCGGGCUCCAAGGGGGAACCAGGUAUUCCAGGUCCGGACGGGCCCCCGGGGAAGCCAGGCAUUGAGGGCCUAACUGGCACGAAGGGGGAACCAGGGCCACGCGGGAGGCCAGGGACUAAAGUAAGUGACUGGUGUUCGUCUCUCCAGCUCCAGUGCUGCCUU